AAGUAAAAACAACGUGGAUGUAGAAAAGAGAGAGAGGACAAGAUACACACUAGAGAGCCUUCGCAUAUUAGAGAAUAGAAAAAGAACGAUGAAUACAAAAGAAGACACAGAUGAUAUUGCGGCUACUUAUUUAUUAUGUUUGUGACAAGAAAAUCAGUAUGACAAGUGUACCAAACGAUAAUGGUACAAUGCUCUAGCUUUUAAGUGUUUAUGUUUUAGUGUUUAUAUGUUUAUGUGUUUAUAUGUUAACAAAUAUACGUAUAUGAAAAUUGGCCCCUGAGGAUGCUAAGGAGUUUAGCGAAACGUAGGGCAAAGCAGUGAAGAAAAAACGUUGUUUUUACUUGCACUAAUCACCAACUAGGCCAAAGAAGCUCAUCAAAAUUAAUAAAA